rnacentral:rRNA from 1 species
UACGGAAGGCAGCAGUGGGGAAUAUUGCACAAUGGGCGCAAGCCUGAUGCAGCCAUGCCGCGUGUAUGAAAAAGGCCUUCGGGUUGUAAAGUACUUUCAGUCGUGAGGAAGGUGUUAAGGUUAAUAACCUUAGCAAUUGACGUUAGCGACAGAAGAAGCACCGGCUAACUCCGUGCCAGCAGCCGCGGUAAUACGGAGGGUGCGAGCGUUAAUCGGAAUUACUGGGCGUAAAGGGCACGCAGGCGGUUAAUUAAGUUGGAUGUGAAAUCCCCGGGCUUAACCUGGGAAUGGCAUUCAAGACUGGUUAGCUAGAGUCUUGUAGAGGGGGUAGAAUUCCAUGUGUAGCGGUGAAAUGCGUAGAGAUGUGGAGGAAUACCGGUGGCGAAGGCGGCCCCUGGACAAAGACUGACGCUCAUGUGCGAAAGCGUGGGGAGCAAACAGGGAUUAGAUACCCGU